rnacentral:tRNA from 1 species
AAAAAUUUAGUUAAAAAAUAACACUAACUUGUCAAGUUAGAAUUAUUAACUUAUUAAUAAUUUUUA